rnacentral:rRNA from 1 species
CACGUAGGGUGCGAGCGUUGUCCGGAAUUAUUGGGCGUAAAGAGCUCGUAGGCGGUGUGUCGCGUCGGCCGUGAAAACCUGCAGCUUAACUGUGGGCUUGCGGUCGAUACGGGCAUCACUGGAGUUCGGCAGGGGAGACUGGAAUUCCUGGUGUAGCGGUGAAAUGCGCAGAUAUCGAGAGGAACACCUGCGGCGAAGGCGGGUUGCUGGGCUGACACUGACGCUGAAGUGCGAAAGCUAGGGGAGCGAACGGG